rnacentral:ncRNA from 2 species
AACCUGCCUGUAAGACUGGGAUAACUCCGGGAAACCGGGGCUAAUACCGGAUAAUUCAUUCCCUCACAUGAGGGAAUGCUGAAAGACGGCUUUUGCUGUCACUUACAGAUGGGCCCGCGGCGCAUUAGCUAGUUGGUGAGGUAACGGCUCACCAAGGCCACGAUGCGUAGCCGACCUGAGAGGGUGAUCGGCCACACUGGGACUGAGACACGGCCCAGACUCCUACGGGAGGCAGCAGUAGGGAAUCUUCCGCAAUGGACGAAAGUCUGACGGAGCAACGCCGCGUGAGCGAAGAAGGCCUUCGGGUCGUAAAGCUCUGUUGUCAGGGAAGAACAAGUACCGGAGUAACUGCCGGUACCUUGACGGUACCUGACCAGAAAGCCACGGCUAACUACGUGCCAGCAGCCGCGGUAAUACGUAGGUGGCAAGCGUUGUCCGGAAUUAUUGGGCGUAAAGCGCGCGCAGGCGGUCCCUUAAGUCUGAUGUGAAAGCCCACGGCUCAACCGUGGAGGGUCAUUGGAAACUGGGGGACUUGAGUGCAGAAGAGGAGAGCGGAAUU